UAAAUCCGCUCUUGAGUUCGCCAAUUGGGACCUAUGGCUCUGGCUCUUCCUGCUCAACCGGCUCAUCUAGGAUAGUGCAUUCGAUCAUAAAGUUGGCUAAGAUCUAUGUCUUGAUGGAUGGUCGAGGUUGAUACUGAAUGUCAAAUUUUGAAAGCUCGACCGCCCAUUUUGUGAUUCAUCCAGAUAUGUCUGGCCAAUAAAGGAUAUUCUUUAUAGGCUGAUCGAUCAGGAUGAUGAUAGUGUGAGCCUAGAAGUA
rnacentral:lncRNA from 1 species